GGGCGGGUAACAAAGCGGCUAUGUGGGGGACUGCAGAUCCUCAUACGGGGGUUCAAAUCCCUCCCCGCCCU
rnacentral:tRNA from 1 species